rnacentral:rRNA from 1 species
GGCCUACCAUGGUGGUAACGGGUAACGGGGUGUUAGGGCACGACACCGGAGAGGGAGCCUGAGAAACGGCUACCACAUCCAAGGAUGGCAGCAGGCGCGCAAAUUACCCAAUCCCGACACGGGGAGGUAGUGACAAUAAAUAACAAUACGGGGUUCUUUAGGAUCUCGUAAUUGGAAUGAGUACAAUUUAAAUCUCUUAACGAGGAACAAUUGGAGGGCAAGUCUGGUGCCAGCAGCCGCGGUAGUUCCAGCUCCAAUAGCGUAUAUUAAAGUUGUUGCAGUUAAAAAGCUCGUAGUUGAAUUUCGGGGUUAGUAGAUUGGUCAUGCCUCUGGUAUGUACUGGUUUCACUGAUUCCUCCUUCCUGAUGAACCGUAAUGCCAUUUAUUUGGUAUUGCGAGGAAUUUGGACUGUUACUUUGAAAAAAUUAGAGUGUUUAAAGCAAGCUAACGCUUGAAUACAUUAGCAUGGAAUAAUGAAAUAGGACGUUCGAUCCUAUUUUGUUGGUUUCUAGGAUUGACGUAAUGAUUAAUAGGGAUAGUUGGGGGCAUUAGUAUUCAAUUGUCAGAGGUGAAAUUCUUGGAUUUAUUGAAGACUAACUACUGCGAAAGCAUUUGCCAAGGAUGUUUUCAUUAAUCAAGAACGAAAGUUAGGGGAUCGAAGGCGAUCAGAUACCGUCGUAGUCUUAACCAUAAACUAUGCCGACUAGGGAUCGGAUGACGUUAAUUUUUUAAUGACUCAUUCGGCGCCUUACG